UCUGAAGAAGAAUGAGAUUCAAGUUUCAAUUUCAUGUGGUUGCAUAACCAGUGCAGACACUUUUUCUGUUCAAAGUAUAAGUUCAAUACCAGUUAUACAAACCGCUUUGGCUCGUAACUUAUGUGGAACUCUGGGUGAUAAGUAUACACAUGUGCAAACAGGCUUUAUAACAAUGGAUCAAACACGCAAGCUUU
rnacentral:lncRNA from 1 species